AUUGUGGGCAAGAGAAUCCGUGUGAAACUGGAUGGCAGCCGGCUGAUCAAGGUUCAUUUGGAUAAAGCACAGCAGAACAACGUGGAACACAAGGUUGAAACUUUUUCUGGUGUCUAUAAGAAGCUUACAGGCAAGGAUGUUAACUUUGAGUUCCCAGAGUUUCAGUUGUAAACAAAAAUGAUUAAA